AGAGAGCCUCGGCUAGCUGGGAUUCUGUCCCUGACCGUCUUCACAGUCCAGGUGAUCUUGACUACUGCUUUACAGAGAAUUGGAUCUGAGGUGUGGAAACAGGAAGAGAACUAGAACUGGAAGUAAAGCAUUGAAGAUGUGACUGAAUUGCUGCAAUCUCAUGAUCAAAUUUGAAUGGAUGAGGAGUUGCUUUUUAGGGAUGAGCAAAGAAAGUGGUUUCUCGAGAUGGAAUCUACUGGUGAAGUUGCUGUGAACAUUGUUAAAAUGCCAAUAAAGGAUUUAGGAAUUACAGAAACCUGGUUGAUAAAGCAGUGCCAGGGUGUGAGAGAGUUGACUUCAAUUUUGAAAUAAGUUCCACUGGCUGGGUGUGGUGGCUCACACCUGCAAUCCCAGUACUUUAGGAGGCCGAGACUGGUAGAUCAUUUGAGGUCAGGAGUUCAAGACCAGCCUUGCCAACAUGGUGAAACCCCACCUCUACCAAAUUAGCCAGGUGUGGUGCACACCUGUAGUCCCAGCUACUUGGGAAGCUGAGGCAGGAGAAUCUCUUGAACCAGGGAGGAGGAGGUUGCAGUAAGCCGAGAUGGCGCCCCUGCACUCCAGCCUGG
rnacentral:lncRNA from 1 species